GGGGGUAUGCUCAGUGAUAGAGUACAUGCUUAGCAAGCACAAGGUCCUGGGUUCAAUGCCCAGUGCCUCUG
rnacentral:tRNA from 1 species